UUUUUUUUUUUUUUUUUUUUUGCAAAUCUUACCAAAUUUAAAACACUGUGAAAAAAGGAGCCCAAGUUAUUAGUGAGUGAUUAGUUGUAAGAAAGACAGAAAGAGGAACAGUAAAAGGAGCAGUACCAUGUUUCUUGUAACUGGCAUUUAUCAUCUCAAAUCAUGUUAAAGCAUGGAUUACUGCAAAUGCCCUAAUUAUAUGCUUAAGAUCAGAUAUAUCUCUUGCUAAGAUUAUUGUAGUAAAAUAAAAGCAUAAUGAGUCUAAUUCUAUCAUCACUUUGGCUCUUGCUAAUACAACUUAAAAGUUUAUUUAAAACCAAGCAAAUGCUACUUUCAGGGAACAUUUUUGGCAAAAAAAAAAAAAAAGCCAUAUUAAGAAUAAGAAUGUGAUAAUCCACCAUAAAAAGGACUUGACUUACUCUUAGAAGAAAAAAUUAAGUUAAUAUUAGCUUAUUAAAAAAUCAUGUUAUUCAAAUACAUUUAUUCUCUGGACAGCUGAAUAUUUCAUUGUUUCCAAAUGAAAAGAGUUGAUAGUUUGCACCUGGAUAAUUCCAAGCAGGUUAAGAAGAAAAACAUGUAUUGGAAAUUUUAAAAAUUAUUGUAUGUUACUAAUCUGCUUAUAUAUACGUUCUCAGAAUUUUAGCAAUGUCCCCGUAAUAUAUUGCAUAAAAAUAAACUGAAAUGAUUUGACUUCUCUGUGGAAUUACAAGAGCUGGAACUCAUUUCGGGCUCCAAUUAUUUGAGCCAGCAUUCAUUGGACACCUGUUUGAACAGGCACUUGGUUCGUGCUGGAGGACGGAGGUAACAUUGAACGUACAGGCCAAAGCAAGCAAAGGCUUUCAAAGUUAGAAAGAGCAUGUACACUCAAGGAAUUAGAGUGGCCAAAAAACAAGGUUGGUGUGAAUAGGAAAGCAGUUGUUGACUGAGAAAAAUAACCUGGGGAGAGAGAGAGAGAGACGCAAAGAUGAGACCCAAGAGGCUCUGGAUCCACGAGGCUACAUAAGUCACGUAUCAACGUUUGUGUCUUCCCAAGAGCAGACCCUGAGACAAGGCCUUGGAUUCUGGGAGUUUACUGAAGAGUUGAUUUCAGGAUACACAACUGAGGAAGAAAUAAGGAAAGAAGUAAGUCCAAGAAAAGCUCUGUUAAUGAGCUGGUUAUGGGUGUGGGCAAUAAACCUCAACAGAUACUAUAUCCCUGUGAUGGCCCAUGUUGGGGGCAGGGUCUAAGAAUCACCCCUACUGAAAGCCAGGGAAGCCAGGAUGGCUGGGGCAUUUAUGGACGCCAUCCCCAUUCUUUGAGAGUUGCUCCAGAUGGGUAUCUGAGCACUGAGCCAGCUGCCCUGGUAAAAGCAAAAUCCCUCAUGUAGAGAGAGAGAGAUUCAUCAUAUACCUUCUCUGGGAAGCCCUCCGAAGUUGAUGGCUCGCCAGAAUCUGUCUGCAACUUCAGGCAACACAGAUGGGCAAAGGAGAGAUUGUAUAGAUUGGGCAUUAAUAUCGCUGCUACCCCACAGAACCGUUUUGAUGUUAAAGGGUUUUAGGCAGCGAAGGGACAUAGUCAUGAUGGUGACGGGGACGUCUAUUCCCUUGUAGGACGGGGACGUUUAUUCCCGUUGUAGGACGGGGAGUACACAGACGCUAAAAAGACAGGAGAUAAUGCCUGUCCAAACAGGCAACCAUGGUUCUAGGUUCCUAGGGUAAGUAGAGGAAUUCAUGAGCUAUUGCGGAAGCAGAAUGGAUAAAAUAUAAGGAUUGAACAUAGGGAGGAUGAAAGGCAAAGAAGUUAGGCGUGAUCCCAAGAUUGUGGCUUCUGUGAUGGAUGAAAGGAGAUGGCAUUCCCUAAAUGGGACAAGCUGAUCGACUGGGUUUCCAAAUUAGAACCAGAUAAUACAUUCAGCAGUAAAAAAUACUGACAUUCAGCAGGUUCGAUCCCUGGCCUCGCUCAGUGGGUUAAAGAUCCAGUGUUGCCAUGAGCUGUGGUGUCGGACGCAGCUGGGAUCCUGCAUUGCUGUGGCUGUGGCCUAGGCUGGCAGCUGCAGCUCCAAUUUGACUCCUAGCCUGGGAACUUCCACAUGCUGCAGGCACAACCCUAAAAAGAAAUAUAUAUAUAUGCUUUCGAGAGAGAGAGAGAAAAAAAAUUCGUACUCUCCUGGAACUUAAAUCCACUUAGGAAAAGAACAGAAGAAGAAACACAAAUAAACAUAACUGGAGAUAUGCAUCAAUGCAUCAAUGGUAUAAAGACCAUAAAACAGGAAGAUGGGGUGGCUGGUAGUGGAGGUGGGUUGACAGCCUCUGGAAAGGGUGCUCAGGAGACCUCUCUCCGAAGCAGUGACAUCUGGACCAAGACUUGAAGGAUGAAAAGGAAGAUAGCAAGAACGAGGAAGAAACUAUUCCAGGCAGAAGAGCGAGAACAGGAUGCAUGAAAACUUGGCGCUUUCAAGGACCAGAAGGAAACCACUGGGGUAAAGCUUUUAUGGAGAGAUGGGGAGCUUGGUAUGCGGGGACUGAGGAGUCACAUGGGUAGAUCAUGGAAGGACGACAGACCAUGAAAAAGGAAGUUGGGUUUUUAUUUCCAGCCUAACAGAACUUUUGGUGGUUUUCAACCAGGGGAAUCGUGUGAUGGAAUAGAUGUUUUCCAAGGUGACUCUGGAUGCUCGGUAAAGAAUGGACUUUUCGGCAGGCAAGGCAGAAGCCUGGGGGAUCAGUAAGUAAUGCUGGUUUAGCUCUAGCUUUGUUAAGGGGCUGCUCAAAGUGCCUUACAUGGAUUCAUUCACUUAAUUCACAUACUAACCCUAGGAGGUGGCUACUACUUUCAGCCCUACUGAACCAAUGAGAGCAGACAUGUAUGACAACCUGCCCAGUGUCAGAAGGAACUCUGGCUCCAAAUCCCACACUAUUAAACAUGAAGAGCCACACAACCACAAUCGACCCACUACUGGGGAAAAAAAAAAAGAAGGAGGGGCUUGUCAAACCUGAAAGAACAGCACCCAAGUCCAUUUCACAUUGUGAAAGAUGACGUGGUCUCAGCAAAAGAGCAUCAUCUGUCACAACGAAUCAAUCUUAGCAAUUCAAAUACCAUUACUUUCAUAGAUUUGUACCAACUGGAUUUACAGCUUUAUGACUUUUGAUUUAUUAUUUAUAAUUUUUAUGAUUUUAUAGAUGUAUAAGAACUAGAAGGAUGAGACAUUUGUAACUUUUUUAUUUGUGCGGACUUAAAUAUUAUACUGAAACUGAUUCCACGUCAAUAACAGAGACCUGCUAGGAUUUCUGCUAAGUGGUCCAACGCAUUGCACAAAUUUGAGAAAAACGGAGCACCUUGUCAUUUUGCACAACAGAUCCACUCAAACCACGGUUCAGACUUAGAGUCUAAUGCAUUUAUUAUGUUUAGUAUGAUGAUGGUUCUUCACAGCACGCUAAUAUAUAGAGAGAAACAUUUCCUAACAUAGCCCGGUAUCUCCUGCCCUAGUUACACCCCGUGAAAAUUCAGAAAAACAAUUUUCAUCGAUUAUAGAUAUUUAUUUAUUUAUUUUUUUUAAGGCUGCACCUGCAGCAUAUGGAUGUUCCCAGGCUAGAGGUCGAAUUGGAGCUACAGCUGCUGGCCUACACCGCAGCCACAGCAAUGCAGGAUCGUUAACCCACUGAGCAAGGCCAGGGAUGGAACCUGCAACCUCAUGGUUCCUAGUCAGAUUCGUUUCUGCUGCACCACGACGCGAACUCCUAUUAUAGAUACUUAUUAAGUUUAGUAUUAUUGAGGUUCACCGGUACCUUCUUUAGCUCACAAUUAAUUAAGACGUUCGCAUUCAGUUGUGAGAGUAGGGAUUCUGACAGCAAACACAAUGAGAAUAACUAGUUAUGAAACUGUCAGAAAAGCAACAUCACCAAUAUCAAUGACACACCAAAUACAAAAUAAAAUAUAAUAAAAAGCUCAACUAAAUGUACCUUUGAGAGCUCUUGUUGCAGAAAAUAAUCUUUGCAGUUUAAUUUUACAGUAUGCUGAGAUUAAACAGUUACUAACCCCAAUUUGCUCAACUGGAUGUGAAAAACAGGACCACUCCGAGCAACAUUUCAAGAUUUCUUAAAAAAGGACCCAACACGUACAAAGUACAACAAUACAGAAAAUUAAGAAUUAUUUCAUGGUGGCAAUUAUCCCUAUAAUCCCUAUAAUUCACUAAAAACUUUAAUUCCUUCUCUCGCUUGGUCUUCUUCACCUCCUCCUGAGUUUCCCACCUUCUUCUGAAUGUAGGGUACCACCAGGAACCUCUGCCACAGCAGUACCUUUGAAGUGGCAUCAUCCUCAGAAAAAGUACACUUGUACCUCCUCCACUAAGUCACGAAAAGUAUGACUCAUGCAUAGACAGUGUGACCCUGGAGCACCUGGAAAUUCCUCCCAGCAAAGCAAAUAAUUAGAUAAGAAAAAAUAAAGAGAGACCAUCCGCCUGCUCAAUGAUGACUGAAACGCACUGAACGAGACAACAUUAAAUGUGACACUUAUACCCAAUCCAUCUAGCCUACAGCAUUAACCAUCUAGGUAUGUCUCAAAAAUAUCCAUUGUGCUCCACUAUAUUGGCCAGCUGUAGACCAAACUAACUCAGUUUCUCUCUUGAAAAGCUACAAUCACACAUCAGCUAGGCUUCCUUUGACCACCCUCAGCCGUCUUCUCCCCACCUGGCUUUAUUCUGCGUGGCACAGCCAGAAUGGGAGCUUAAAAUGCAGAUUUGAUCCUGUAAUGUCACAGCUGAAAAUUCUUUGGUGGUUUCAGGUUCAUCUUAGAAUAAGGAUCAAACAUUUUUACAUGGCCUACAAGACUAUCAAAUUUCCUGACAAUUGGGGGAGCUUCUUUUUCUAUCCUUCUGCCUCUCACUUUUGGUUCUCCUGCCUCUGUAUCUAACUUCCAUUUAUCAAACCUGGGCGCAGCUUCCUACCACUGGGCCUUUGCACUGUUUCUUCAGUCAAGGGUGCUCUUUUCCUUCUUUUUAACUUAGUUACUUCCCACUCAUCUGCCACUUUUCAAAUUCAAAAUCAGUCUCAUGGUACAACUUAAAUAGUACCAGGAAAAUAGAAGGCACUCAGUAAAUACGUACUGAAUGGCUGACAAAAUUAAAACACCACCAACAGAAGAGAAAAUGUAAAAAUAGGAAUUUAUUUUUACCUCCACUCAGAGAUUUUCAUUAGGGAAGAUUUGGGAAUGGAUGAGCGGUAGACAGCAAUGAGGUACAAAGAAGAGAAGACUGAAGACUCAUAAGCCAAGGGCAGGACAGAUACAGAAGCAAAUGCAGCUGGACAUGUGGUUUUACUGCAAUAUAACUGCCUGAUUUAUAAUUAGGCGUCAAUGUAUAACCAGCCAAAAGAACUCAGAAAGCAAAGCUCUUCCUGGCCUUACACCAUACAAGCGUAAGUCAACUGGCCAUGAAUAUGGCUUGUCUAUUGACUAACUCAUGGGCCAAGGGCUUCCUCAUACGCUGCACCCAGAGCCACCAAUGCCGGAAGUGGGGCACCUGUAUAGUGAUUUAGCAUAGCAUGUCUUGAUGCUCGGCAUCCUUAUGGUACUUAAGUGCAACCCCACUUCCUACCACCACCAUUAUACUCUUCAAGCUUGUAGUAAAGGGACUAGCCAAGCUGCCCUUUAGGGGCCAUUUAUGAAGCUGGAAAUCUGGAAAGAUCAUCGUCAAAACUGCUACGCC
ensembl:lncRNA